CACUUAUAUCUAGGUUAUUGAUUUGACCAACAAAAUAUAAGUUGUGUUUUGUCGGUUAAAUUGAUGACUUAUGUGCUAUAU